rnacentral:rRNA from 1 species
UGGGGGAUAUUGCACAAUGGGCGAAAGCCUGAUGCAGCGACGCCGCGUGGGGGAUGAAGGCCUUCGGGUUGUAAACUUCUUUUGCUCUGAACAAGGCAUGCCUUUGGGGUGUGUUGAGUGUAGGGGUUGAUUAGCGCCGGCUAACUACGUGCCAGCAGCCGCGGUAAUACGUAGGGCGCGAGCGUUGUCCGGAAUUAUUGGGCGUAAAGGGCUUGUAGGUGGCUGGUUGCGUCUGUCGUGAAAGCUCAUGGCUUAACUGUGGGUUUGCGGUGGGUACGGGCUGGCUUGGGUGCAGUAGGGGGGGCUGGAAUUCCUGGUGUAGCGGGGGAAUGCGCAGAUAUCAGGAGGAAUCCCGGUGGCGAGGGCGGGUCUCUGGGCUGUUACUGACGCUGAGGAGCAAAAGCGUGGGGAGCGAACAGG